UACGAAGGGGGCUAGCGUUGCUCGGAAUCACUGGGCGUAAAGCGCACGUAGGCGGACUCUUAAGUCGGUGGUGAAAUCCUGGAGCUCAACUCCAGAACUGCCUUUGAUACUGGCGAGCUUGAGUCCGGGAGAGGUGAGUGGAACUGCGAGUGUAGAGGUGAAAUUCGUAGAUAUUCGCAAGAACACCAGUGGCGAAGGCGGCUCACUGGCCCGGUACUGACGCUGAGGUGCGAAAGCGUGGGGAGCAAACAGG
rnacentral:rRNA from 1 species